AACGUAGGAGGCUAGCGUUAUCCGGAUUUACUGGGCGUAAAGCGCGUGCAGGCGGUUGUGCAAGUUGGGCGUGAAAUCUCCUGGCUCAACUGGGAGGGGUCGUCCAAUACUGCAUGACUUGAGUGCAGAAGAGGGAAGCGGAAUUCCCGGUGUAGCGGUAAUAUGCGCAGAUAUCGGGAAGAACACCAGUGGCGAAGGCGGCUUCCUGGGCUGCAACUGACGCUGAGACGCGAAAGCUAGGGGAG
rnacentral:rRNA from 1 species